AGGCAGAGGCAGGGGGAUCUGAA
rnacentral:piRNA from 1 species